AGUAGCGGCGAGUGAAGCGGCAAAAGCUCAAAUUUGAAAUCUGGCACCUUCGGUGUCCGAGUUGUAAUUUGAAGAUUGUAACCUUGGGGUUGGCUCUUGUCUAUGUUUCUUGGAACAGGACGUCACAGAGGGUGAGAAUCCCGUGCGAUGAGAUGCCCAAUCCUAUGUAAGGUGCUUUCGAAGAGUCGAGUUGUUUGGGAAUGCAGCUCUAAGUGGGUGGUAAAUUCCAUCUAAAGCUAAAUAUUGGCGAGAGACCGAUAGCGAACAAGUACAGUGAUGGAAAGAUGAAAAGAACUUUGAAAAGAGAGUGAAAAAGUACGUGAAAUUGUUGAAAGGGAAGGGUUUGAGAUCAGACUCGAUAUUUUGUGAGCCUUGCCUUCGUGGCGGGGUGACCCGCAGCUUAUCGGGCCAGCAUCGGUUUGGGCGGUAGGAUAAUGGCGUAGGAAUGUGACUUUGCUUCGGUGAAGUGUUAUAGCCUGCGUUGAUGCUGCCUGCCUAGACCGAGGACUGCGAUUUUAUCAAGGAUGCUGGCAUAAUGAUCCCAAACCGCCCGUC
rnacentral:rRNA from 1 species